GAAAUGGUGGUAGAUUUUAGGAGACAUGAUCUCGUCGAUCCCGUCUAAAACUGAAAUAGGGGACGGAUGCUGCGGCGGAGAGAGAAGAAGAAACGAUUUAUUUAAUGGACAUUAGAAGAAGCAAGGUCGCGCGGAGGGAGAGCGAUUUAUUGUAACGAACAUUAGAAGAAACAAGGUCGUGCGGAGGCGGAGCGAUUUACUAUUUUUCGUGGAGAAGAAGGAAGGUCGUGUGUAUUGGUUUGGUUUGAUUUAGAGGUUUAGAUAGUGAACGGUUCGCUUCGGUUCGGUUUGGUUCGGUUUGGUUCAGAGGUUCAGAGAGAAGUAGUUCAAUGAUUCGGUUCAGCUGUUUAGAGACAACAGUUCGGUUCGGUUCGGUUCAGAGGUUCAGGAGAGACAGUUCAAGACUAAAUUACCAGUCAUUCUGGAAAGUAAUAAACGGUUAGAAAUUCUAUGUUGAUCAAAAAGGAACAAUUCAUGGCAAAGAGAACUACUAACCUGAAACUCUAGCAAGAAGGAAACGUCCACAUCUUGUAAAUGUGAGCGUCGAUUUCUAGGGAUAAGACAAUAAGAUUAUUAUAUAAGAAAGAAAUAUUUGAUCUGAAUACCUAAAUUUCUUAUCGUUCAGAUUUUGGAAUAAUAACAUCAGAUGAUGGUUUCUAAUUGAGGCAAGGAUGGAUAUUAUAGGCAAAAUUGUAGCAGCGAGGAAGGUAGAAGAAUCGGCCAAGGUAGAGGAAUCGACAGACAGUACAUUUGAUGAGACACGAUCCAUCUGAAACGGUGGUAGAUUUUAUGAGACAUGAUCUCGUCGAUCCCGUCUAAAAUGGAAAUAGGGGACAGAUGCUGCGGCGGAGAGAGGAGAAGAAACGAUUUAUUGUAACGGACAUGAGAAGAAGUAAGGUCGCGCGAAGGGGGAGCGAUUUACUAUAACAGACAUGAGAAGAAGCAAGGUCGUGCGAAGGCGGAGCGAUUUACUGUUUUGCGUGGAGAAGAAGCAAGGUCGUGUGUAUUGGUUUGGUUUGAUUUAGAGGUUUAGAUAGUGAACGGUUCGCUUCGGUUCGGUUUGGUUCGGUUUGGUUCAGAGGUUCAGAGAGAGGUAGUUCAAUAGUUCGGUUCAGAUGUUUAGAGACAACAGUUCGGUUCGUUUCGGUUCAGAGGUUCAGAGAGAGACAGUUCAAGACUAAAUUAC
rnacentral:lncRNA from 1 species